GCUUCGGUGGCCUAGUGGUUAGAGUGUCCACCUCAGAUGCGGGAGGUCGUGGGUUCGAUCCCCGGUUGAGUCA